rnacentral:snoRNA from 1 species
UAAGCAGGAAUUGUGUGUAUCGACAUGGUGCCUAAAAUGCAUUAAUAGUCGAAAGAUUUUCCUGCAAAAUCAAAACUCAGGGGAAGAUGGGCAGUUGUGUUUCAUUGAUCUGUUGAUUCUUUUCAACAAUCAUCUUCCCCAUAUUC